AACGCGAAGAACCUUACCAGCCCUUGACAUGUCCCGUACGGGGCCGAGAGAUCGGCCUCAUCAGUUCGGCUGGCGGGAACACAGGUGCUGCAUGGCUGUCGUCAGCUCGUGUCGUGAGAUGUUGGGUUAAGUCCCGCAACGAGCGCAACCCUCACCUUCAGUUGCCAUCAGGUUAAGCUGGGCACUCUGAAGGAACUGCCGGUGACAAGCCGGAGGAAGGCGGGGAUGACGUCAAGUCCUCAUGGCCUUUAUGGGCUGGGCUACACACGUGCUACAAUGGCGGUGACAGAGGGAGGCAAAGGGGCGACCCCUAGCCAAUCUCGAAAAGCCGUCUCAGUUCGGAUUGUUCUCUGCAACUCGAGAGCAUGAAGCUGGAAUCGCUAGUAAUCGCGGAUCAGCACGCCGCGGUGAAUACGUUCCCGGGCCUUGUACACACCGUAGUAC
rnacentral:rRNA from 1 species